rnacentral:rRNA from 1 species
AGCGAACGCUGGCGGCAGGCUUAACACAUGCAAGUCGAACGGGCGUAGCAAUACGUCAGUGGCAGACGGGUGAGUAACGCGUGGGAACGUACCUUUUGGUCGGAACAACCCAGGGAAACUUGGGCUAAUACCGGAUAAGCCCUUACGGGGAAAGAUUUAUCGCCGAAAGAUCGGCCCGCGUCUGAUUAGCUAGUUGGUGAGGUAACGGCUCACCAAGGCGACGAUCAGUAGCUGGUCUGAGAGGAUGAUCAGCCACAUUGGGACUGAGACACGGCCCAAACUCCUACGGGAGGCAGCAGUGGGGAAUAUUGGACAAUGGGCGCAAGCCUGAUCCAGCCAUGCCGCGUGAGUGAUGAAGGCCCUAGGGUUGUAAAGC